AAAGUGCUGGCUCAUAAAUGCUGGUUCCCUUUCUUAAUGAGGUAUUAGUCCACAUAGCCUGGAUCAGCUCAACUUAGCAACAGAUCAUUUGUGACCCCAGAAACGAAGCUAUUCUCAUCAAGGAACGUUUGUGGACUAUUCUUUAGAUGGAAGGAGGACAUCAAAGUCUACAGUCCAUUCUAUCCAGGUUGUAUCAGAUUGCACUGAACAAAAGACGGAGCAUUCCCAAGCUAUAGCAGUCAUUCUUGAAUUGAUGUGGUUUGAUUGAAAGCUUCCUUCAGUCUUUUCUACCCCGAGGACUUUCCAGUCUGAAACCUGAAUUGUUUACCAAAGUCUGUGGCUCUGGGCCAUGGGUGAGGAUCAAGAAAGAAAGAAGGGUCACAGGUUGGUGACCUGUGGACUGAUAACUAUUAUGGAAACAUCGACUCUGAAACUGCAUCUCCCCACUCCUUCCCAUUAAAUGUCAAAGCACUGACAGCAGAAGAUAUCAAUGUGAGUUAUAUGUAUGUCUACAUAUAUAUGUAUAUAAAUAUAAACUCCCUGAUCAUCUGUUUCUUUUUCAAUGCCAGAAAGUCAGUUUGUGGGAGAUUUAAAUUGCAGUUUUCUACUUAAGAAAACAGAUUACAUGAAGUUGUACUAGAAGAUAUGCAUAUCCUUUGAAAAAUAAUACUCUGGACAUUUUAUAAAAAGAGAAAGCUGUGGGAGAAAGUGAGUGUAGUAUUGGUAUCUACAGUUGCUUCUCUUUAAAAUAUGCAGGGUAUGUAAAAAUAAGAAAAGAAACAGAGGGAAAAGAUCAGAAGGACUUGUGUGGAUUUUGUUAUGUGAGCCUGCAGCCAGAUUAGCUACAGAUCAUUGUCCAAGAGAAAUAUUGAAAGAAAUUUUACAUAUGAAAUGUAGGAAAGAUGCUCUUUAAAAAAAGAGAUGAUAUUAUAAGGCAUAAUGAAUCUUUUCAAGUGAAAUGGAAGGAACACUAAAUUGAGACUGACCACUAAAAGGCUUGAUAAGGGUGGGAGUGGUUAAAUGGAGUUUGAUCAUGUUUAAAGGCAGUGGACGAGAAAUAGAGACUGAAAUUUGGAAGAGACAAGGAUAAAUACACGGAGGACACAGGAGGAGAGGGGAUCAAUGAUAGAG
rnacentral:lncRNA from 1 species